AUUGACCGCUGGCGGCAGGCCUAACACAUGCAAGUCGCACGAGUGGCGGACGUGUUAGUAAUGUCUGGGAAACUGCCUGAUGGAGGGGGAUAACUACUGGACACGUUAGCUAAUACCGCAUACCAUCUGAUGUGCCCAGAUGGGAUUAGCUAGUAGGUGUUGUAAAGGCUCACCUAGGCGACGAUCCCUAGCUGGUCUGAGAGGAUGACCAGCAAAACUGGAACGGAGACACGGUCCAGACUCCUACGGGAGGCAGCAGUGGGGAAUAUUGCAAAAUGGGCGCAAGCCUGAUGCAGCCAUGCCGCGUGUAUGAAGAAGGCCUUCGGGUUGUAAAGUACUUGCAGCGGGGAGGCGUUACCCGCAGAAGAAGCACCGGCUAACGCCGUGCCAGCAGCCGCGGUAAUUC
rnacentral:rRNA from 1 species